rnacentral:rRNA from 1 species
GGCUCAGAACGAACGCUGGCGGCGUGCUUACACAUGCAAGUCGAACGCGAAAGGGACUUCGGUCCUGAGUAAAGUGGCGCACGGGUGAGUAACGCGUGGAUAAUCUACCCAAUGGUCUGGGAUAACAUUUCGAAAGGGGUGCUAAUACCGGAUAAGACCACGGAGUCUCUGGACUCUGCGGUAAAAGGUGGGGACCUUCGGGCCUACCGCAAUUGGAUGAGUCCGCGUACCAUUAGCUAGUUGGUAGGGUAAAGGCCUACCAAGGCUACGAUGGUUAGCUGGUCUGAGAGGAUGAUCAGCCACACUGGAACUGAGACACGGUCCAGACUCCUACGGGAGGCAGCAGUGGGGAAUUUUGCGCAAUGGGGGAAACCCUGACGCAGCAACGCCGCGUGAGUGAUGAAGGCCUUCGGGUCGUAAAGCUCUGUCAGAGGGGAAGAAAUGCAGGGUGCUAAUAUCGCUUCUGCUUGACGGUACCCUCAAAGGAAGCACCGGCUAACUCCGUGCCAGCAGCCGCGGUAAUACGGAGGGUGCGAGCGUUGUUCGGAAUUAUUGGGCGUAAAGCGCGUGUAGGCGGUUUGUUAAGUCUGAUGUGAAAGCCCCGGGCUCAACCUGGGAAGUGCAUUGGAAACUGGCAGACUUGAAUACGGGAGAGGGUAGUGGAAUUCCUAGUGUAGGAGUGAAAUCCGUAGAUAUUAGGAGGAACACCGGUGGCGAAGGCGGCUGCCUGGACCGAUAUUGACGCUGAGACGCGAAAGCGUGGGGAGCAAACAGGAUUAGAUACCCUGGUAGUCCACGCCGUAAACGAUGAGUACUAGGUGUUGCGGGUAUUGACCCCUGCAGUGCCGCAGCUAACGCAUUAAGUACUCCGCCUGGGAAGUACGGCCGCAAGGCUAAAACUCAAAG